rnacentral:rRNA from 1 species
UGUGGAAUAUUGGUCAAUGGACGAGAGUCUGAACCAGCCAAGUAGCUUGCAGGAUGACGGCCCUAUGGGUUGUAAACUGCUUUUGUUUGGGAAUCAUCGACAUUACGUGUAAUGUCUUGCAUGUACCAUUCGAAUAAGGACCGGCUAAUUCCGUGCCAGCAGCCUCUCUAAUACGCACGGUCCAGGCGCUAUCCGGAUUUAUUUGGUUUAAAGGGAGUGUAGGCGGUUGGUUAAGCGUGUUGUGAAAUGUAGAUGCUCAACAUCUGACUUGCAGCGCGAACUGGCUGACUUGAGUACACACAACGUAGGCGGAAUUCAUGGUGUAGCGGUGAAAUGCUUAGAUAUCAUGAAGAACUCCGAUUGCGAAGGCAGCUUACGGGAGUGUUACUGACGCUUAAGCUCGAAAGUGCGGGUAUCGAACAGG